rnacentral:tRNA from 1 species
GUGUAGCUUAAAUAAAGCCCCUCGUUUACACCGAGACAAUGCCUAAUAAACUUAGGCCGCUCUGAUGUA